rnacentral:rRNA from 1 species
AGAUUGAACGCUGGCGGCAGGCCUAACACAUGCAAGUCGAGCGGUAGAGAGGUGCUUGCACCUCUUGAGAGCGGCGGACGGGUGAGUAAAGCCUAGGAAUCUGCCUGGUAGUGGGGGAUAACGCUCGGAAACGGACGCUAAUACCGCAUACGUCCUACGGGAGAAAGCAGGGGACCUUCGGGCCUUGCGCUAUCAGAUGAGCCUAGGUCGGAUUAGCUAGUUGGUGAGGUAAUAGCUCACCAAGGCGACGAUCCGUAACUGGUCUGAGAGGAUGAUCAGUCACACUGGAACUGAGACACGGCCCAGACUCCUACGGGAGGCAGCAGUGGGGAAAUAUUGGACAAGUGGGACGAAAGCCUGAUCCAGCCAUCGCCGCGUGUGUGAAGAAGGUCUUCGGAUUGUAAAGCACUUUAAGUUGGAGGAAGGACAUUAACCUAAUACGUUAGUGUUUUGACGUUACGACAAGAAUAAGACACCGGCUAAACUCUGUCGCAGCACG